AGGGUUAUGAUGAUAUACUUUUAAUAUCUUAGCGGAUUUCCGUGAGAUUAAAAUAUAUUUUGAUCUAUGAUCUUAUUGUUACACACACUGAAUCCU